rnacentral:rRNA from 1 species
AUGAACGCUAGCGACAGGCUUAACACAUGCAAGUCGAGGGGCAGCAUGGUCAGUAGCAAUACCGACUGAUGGCGACCGGCGCACGGGUGAGUAACGCGUAUGCAACCUGCCCUGUACAGGGGGAUAGCCCAUGGAAACGUGGAUUAAUAUCCCAUAGUAAUCAUGAUAGGCAUCUAUUUUGAUUUAAAUCUUCGGAGGUACAGGAUGGGCAUGCGUCCUAUUAGAUAGUUGGCGGGGUAACGGCCCACCAAGUCUUUGAUAGGUAGGGGUUCUGAGAGGAAGGUCCCCCACACUGGUACUGAGACACGGACCAGACUCCUACGGGAGGCAGCAGUGAGGAAUAUUGGUCAAUGGGCGAUAGCCUGAACCAGCCAAGUCGCGUGAGGGAAGACUGCCCUAUGGGUUGUAAACCUCUUUUGUAAGUGGAGAAUAAGCGUUACGUGUAGCGCGAUGACUGUAACUUACGAAUAAGCAUCGGCUAACUCCGUGCCAGCAGCCGCGGUAAUACGGAGGAUGCGAGCGUUAUCCGGAUUUAUUGGGUUUAAAGGGUGCGUAGGCGGCACUAUAAGUUAGUGGUAAAAUUUCCGGGCUUCACCCGGAUUCGCCAUUAAUACUGUAGAGCUCGAGUACAGACGAGGUAGGCGGAAUAAGUUAAGUAGCGGUGAAAUGCAUAGAUAUAACUUAGAACUCCGAUAGCGAAGGCAGCUUACCAGACUGUAACUGACGCUGAUGCACGAGAGCGUGGGUAUCGAACAGGAUUAGAUACCCUGGUAGUCCACACCGUAAACGAUGGAUACUAGGUGUAGGAGAUAUUAAGUCUUCUGUGCCGUCGCAAACGCAAUAAGUAUCCCACCUGGGGAGUACGGCCGCAAGGUUGAAACUCAAAGGAAUUGACGGGGGCCCGCACAAGCGGAGGAACAUGUGGUUUAAUUCGAUGAUACGCGAGGAACCUUACCUGGGUUUAAAUGUAUUCUGCAUAAACUGGAAACAGUUUUUUCCUUCGGGACUGAUUACAAGGUGCUGCAUGGUUGUCGUCAGCUCGUGCCGUGAGGUGUCGGGUUAAGUCCCAUAACGAGCGCAACCCUUAUCACUAGUUGCCAUCAGGUAAUGCUGGGCACUCUAUUGAGACUGCCACCGUAAGGUGAGAGGAAGGGGGGGAUGACGUCAAAUCAGCACGGCCCUUACACCCAGGGCGACACACGUGUUACAAUGGCCGGUACAGAGGGUCGCUACCUGGUGACAGGAUGCUAAUCUCGAAAUCCGGUCGUAGUUCGGAUUGGAGUCUGUAACCCGACUCCAUGAAGUUGGAUUCGCUAGUAAUCGCGCAUCAGCCAUGGCGCGGUGAAUACGUUCCCGGGCCUUGUACACACCGCCCGUCAAGCCAUGGAAGCCGGGAGUACCUGAAGUCCGUAACCGCAAGGAUCGGCCUAAGGUAAUACUGGUAACUGGGGCU